UACGAAGGGGUCUAGCGUUGCUCGGAAUUACUGGGCGUAAAGCGCACGUAGGCGGCUUUCUAAGUCGGGGGUGAAAUCCUGGAGCUCAACUCCAGAACUGCCUUCGAUACUGGAAAGCUCGAGUCCGGGAGAGGUGAGUGGAACUGCGAGUGUAGAGGUGAAAUUCGUAGAUAUUCGCAAGAACACCAGUGGCGAAGGCGGCUCACUGGCCCGGUACUGGCGCUGAGGUGCGAAAGCGUGGGGAGCAAACAGG
rnacentral:rRNA from 1 species